rnacentral:rRNA from 1 species
UACGUAGGGUGCAAGCGUUGUCCGGAAUUAUUGGGCGUAAAGAGCUCGUAGGCGGUCUGUCACGUCGGACGUGAAAAUCCAGGGCUCAACCCUGGACCUGCGUUCGAUACGGGCAGACUAGAGUUCGGUAGGGGAGACUGGAAUUCCUGGUGUAGCGGUGAAAUGCGCAGAUAUCAGGAGGAACACCGGUGGCGAAGGCGGGUCUCUGGGCCGAUAUUGACGCUGAGGAGCGAAAGCGUGGGGAGCGAACAGG